UACGUAGGGGGCAAGCGUUGUCCGGAUUUAUUGGGCGUAAAGAGCGUGUAGGCGGCUUGGUAGGUCCGCUGUGAAAACUCGAGGCUCAACCUCGAGAUGUCGGCGGAAACCACUUGGCUAGAGUCCGGAAGAGGAGAGUGGAAUUCCCGGUGUAGCGGUGAAAUGCGCAGAUAUCGGGAAGAACACCUGUGGCGAAAGCGGCUCACUGGACCAUUACUGACGCUGAGGCACGAAAGCUAGGGGAGCAAACAGG
rnacentral:rRNA from 1 species